rnacentral:lncRNA from 12 species
CUGUGGUCUAGUUGUUACUAUCAGUGAACCGAUAUCGAUGAAUACUUGACAUUAACGAUCACUCUUUGUGUUGUGCAUUUCUAUGGGUUUUUGAAAAAAUACGUAAUGUCUGGUGUCAACCACCCAGAAGAGUCUCACUGCUCUAGUAUUCCCCUGGUUUCACCUCUAGACCCUCCCUCCUGAAGCCCCUGAUCUUUUUUACUGUCACUCUAGAUUUGCCUUUUCCCGACUGCGAUAUAGUUGUAAUCAUGAACAUUUCAUGGUGACUUGACAGUCUUUCCCAGGAAGCCAAAAGGCUCUGUUCCUCAUUUCUCUUCUGCUUCUCCCCUUUGUCUUCCUUCCUUCGUCCACCCAGGAGGAUGACUCAGCAGCAGCCUAGUUCACAGUUCUUAACUAACCAGCUCUGUGACUCUCCCUCCCUGCCCAAGUCGACCACACCUGCCUGAAUAAGUCCCUAUGUGUCCUCCUAGACCCCCCGGAGGGCCUGUCUGAGGAGCUUCCUCAUGACACGGCAGAGGAAGAGGCCCCAUCUAAUCCUAAGCUCCCCCGAGGGCCUAGCAGAGGAGCACCCAGGGGACGAGCUGAGUAAAAGACCCCAUCGAAUGCCAAGGUGGUCUCGGGAGUAAGUGACAACAGUACGUACUCUGGAGUCCCUCCCUUGUUGGGGAAAGAUCUAGGUGCUAAGAGAAGCGAGUCUCCCCUGCUGGCUUUCCUCUGAAGUGCCACCGCCACCACCGAUUCUGGGUUCCUGCUGGGAGCCCAGGCUGGGUAGGUGGGAAAGGAGGCUGACUCUCCAGGGAAAGAGCUGUGGCCAUUUCUCCACAAGCACUUUUGUUCCCUUUGGGAGGUGAGGGUUUGCGUGCAGUGUGGCGGGCUGUUCUCUGGGGGAAUCAGGUAGUGUGAUUGUGUGAGUACGUGUGUGUAUGUGUCUCCCUAGAUCCAGGUCCCCUCCAACAACACAGUUGCCAGCAUCAGCUUCUAAGUGACAAUUCCCAUCAUCGUUGUUUCAUGCAAUUAUCUGUGUUUCAAACUUGAUUAAAUUGUACACCAAGUACACCCCAAUAAACUUGCGGGGAAUCCCA